UAUAAUUGCAUAAACACUAAAAACUAUUUAAUUGAUGUAAGGAGAUGACAGACUUUAGAAAUUAUUAAACGAUAGAACAAUUUGUUAAAUACACAAAGGAAUAAAUGAUUUUAGUUUUUAAGUUUCUUUUUGUUAUGAUUAUAUUUAUUUUAGUAUUUCUAGUUGCACCGAACAUUCAAGGUAUGCAUUUUUUAUUUUUAAUAAUUUUUAGUUUUUAAUUCGUACACUAUAUUUUAUCAUAUAUAUGUAUUUAAAUUGUUUUAUUCUCUUUAUUUACAGCGGCUAGAAAUAUAUGUUCAGAAGAUUCUGAUUGUUGGUAUUUUUAUUGUUCAAGAACAUUUAAAACGAUUUGUGUUGAAAGACGAUGUAGACGUGUUAAAAUCCUAGAUUAAGUUUGUGAAUGAUUUUGUGUUUAGUUUUAAACUUAAGUUUGGGCAUAGAUGUUCUGCUAAAAUAUUUCAUAAGUUGUCAUUUAAUAUUUGUAUUUCCAUUUAUUAAUUUGAAUAUUUUCAUUUCUCGUGUUUCAUGGUAUGGUAGUUAAAGGAAAUAAGAUAGAAAAUAAUCAAUUAUGUGAAUAAAAAAUAAUAAUCUAAUUAGUGUUAUAAAUGGAAAUAUAUGUGUUUAUAAAUGAAUGGAUUUCAAAUUUAUAUUUUAUUCAUUAUAUAUGUCCUAUAAAUAUGAUUCAUAUUAUAUCUAAAAUCAAAAUUUAAAAUGUAAAUAAUACAAUACAUUAUUUUAUUCUCUUUUUUCUCUUAUAUUAUUUUAUUUUAUACUUAAAAAGGCUAUUGAAGAUAAUAUUGGCUUUUUAUUUUGUUAUUUUUUACAUUACUCGUUUUGAAUUUAGAUAUUAUCUUAUAUCUUAUUAAAUUAUCAAGUAUACUUGAAGAAUAGAAAAAUAAUAAGUUUAUAUUUUGACAACCGUUAGAAAAAAUAGUGUGUUUUCAAGAACAUAGAAAAUAUUGUUAUUGAAGAUCGAAAUAAUGAAUAGUAAAAAGAAAAUUGAGAUACAUGUUUAGUGACACACUUUUUAGUAUAUACUUCGUUACCUCACGCCAUCAAUCCUUUGGUGACAUAUACAUUUUUAAUUUGCAUGUUUUGAGUAAAGGUAAGACUUUUGGUUAAAGGCAUGGAAUAAGAAAAGCUGACUAUUUUAAAACUUUCUAUAGUUCUCAGAGGGAAUAAAAAUUGGAAAUUACUCUAGUGUAGAAAUUAAAAUAUCACACAUAAGUGUUUUAUUUUAAAGUAUAUAAUAUAAAUUAGAAGAUAAUUGAAAAGAAAGUGAAAAUAAUUUGUAAAAGACAAAUUAUAUGAUUAUCAAAGGUGUGGCCAUGAGUAUGCCCCGUAUAUGUGAGUAAAAUAUGAAAUAUUCAUUCAAUUUUGACACUUUUACCUAUGAUUUAUUGUUAGCUGAUAUUUAGCAUAUCACAUGUAAAUAUAUUUAUAGGCUUUUCCUUUUAUCCUUACAUUGUGGAUAAUGUAAUAUAAAUAGCCAAUCACUUUCUGUUUUACACAGUUAGUUUUCCAAUAACAACUUUCUGUUAUCUUCUUCUUCUUCUUCUUGAAUGAUUCUGGUUUUCCAUUUUCUCCAUAUGAGCAUUAUUGCAAUUUGCUUUCCCACUGUACUGUUUCAUAUGGACAUUGAUAUGGUAUCAGAGCUUCACCAGCUCUGGUAGCCAUUGUCCUUCUCCUUCCGUCUUCAAUCCACUGUAUUUCUGUUUUUUUUUGCAGAUUCUUAAUACCUUCCAAUCUCGGUUUUCAUGGCUAACCAUAGCUUCACCGAUUUUUCCACAAAUUCGUCGAAUCCGUAUUAACUGCAUCCGAAUGAAAAUCCUUCAAUCGUCCUCGUUACACCUCUUCUUGAUGAUAAAAAUUACCAUACUUGGGCGAGAUCGAUGCACAUUGCGUUAAUCUCCAAGAACAAGGAUAAGUUCGUUGACGAUACACUCACAAAACCUCAUGUUUCUGAUCCCCUAUACGCCCCAUGGAUUCGGUGCAACACAAUGGUUCUGGCAUGGAUUCACCGUUCUAUUUCUGAAUCAAUUACUAAGUCUGUGUUGUGGAUCGAAAGCGCAGCUGGCGUAUGGAAGAAUUUGCAGCUCUGUUUUUCGCAAGGUGAUAUUUUCCGCAUUUCAGAUAUUCAAGAAGAUUUAUACAAAUUUCGUCAAGGUUCCCUUGAUGUUUCGAACUAUUUCACUCAAUUGAAGGUCAUGUGGGGUGAACUCGAGAAUUAUCGUCCCGUACUAGCAUGUUCUUGCGCAAUACCGUGUUCUUGUGGUGUCGUUGGUUCAAUCAAAAACUACAGAGAGCAAGAUUAUGUUAUCAGGUUUCUUAAAGGAUUGAAUGAAAAGUUUACACAUUCGAAAUCUCAAAUAAUGAUGAUGCAGCCCCUUCCCACCAUUGACAAAGCUUUUUCAUUGGUGAUUCAACAAGAAAGAGAGAUAAACUAUGCCGGAUCAUCCAUGGCCACAUGUCCCUUUACCUGAACCAGAGCCAACAAAUAAUGCUGAAAUGUUACAUAAUCGAAAUUCUACUAGAGUUUCUCAUCCUCCAAGUUAUCUUGCAGAUUACCAUUGCCAUAACACCAUACAUCAUUCUCCUAUCUCUCUUAAAACCAAACCAAAACUUUCCACUGUUGCAUAUCCCUUAUCCUCUGUGUUGACUUAUGAUCAUUGUUCUCCCUCUUAUAAACACUAUUGCCUUUCUAUAUCCUCUCAUGUUGAACCAAAGACAUUUAACCAAGCCAAUAAACAUGACUGUUGGAAGAAGGCAAUGGAUGCAGAGUUGAUUGCUCUUGAGGAAAACCAUACUUGGCAGAUUGUUGAUCUACCUCAUGGAAAAACACCCAUAGGAUGCAGAUUUGGAUGCAGAGUUGAUUGCUCUUGAGGAAAACCAUACUUGGCAGAUUGUUGAUCUACCUCAUGGAAAAACACCCAUAGGAUGCAGAUGGGUUUAUAAAAUCAAGCAUAAGGCAGAUGGCUCCAUUGAGAGAUUUAAUGCCAAGCUGGUGGCAAAAGGGUAUACACAAAUGGAGGGUAUUGAUUACUUUGACACAUUCUCUUAUGUAGCCAAGAUUACUACAGUCAGAGUUCUUUUAUCAUUAGUUGCUGUUAAAGGUUGGCACUUAGAACAGCUAGAUGUGAACAAUGCCUUUCUUCAUGGUGAUUUACAUGAAGAGGUAUAUAUGACUCUCCCUCCUGGUUUAUCUGGAUAUGGUGAAUCUAAAGUGUGCAAACUGCAGAAGUCCUUAUAUGGCCUCAAACAGGCCAACAUGCAAUGGUAUUCCAAACUAUCCACUUUCCUUAUUUCUCUUGGAUACACACAAUCUCAGGCUGACCAUUCACUUUAUGUUAAGAAAUUCAAACAUGAAUUUACUACACUAUUGGUCUAUGUAGAUGAUGUGGUAUUGGCAGGUAAUUCCUUAUCUAAAGUUUCGAAUUAAAGACCUUGGUCAGCUACAUUUCUUUUUAGGAUUUGAGAUUGCUAGAUCCCCUACUGGCAUUUUUCUUAAUCAAAGAAAAUAUGCUCUUGAACUCUUGGAAGAUGCUGGUCUCUUGGCAGCAAAACCUUUUGCAGUUCCUUUCAACCUAACCUUGAAAUUGUCAGCUGAUGAAGGCAAUGUUUUAGAGGAUCCUUUUGUAUAUAGAAGGUUAAUUGGCAGGUUGAUUUAUCUCACCAACUCCCGCCCUGACAUUGCAUUUGUUGUACAACAUGUGAGUCAAUAUGUAUCCAAGCCACGUGCUCCUCAUUAUCAGGAUGCCAUUCAAAUUCUCAAGUACCUCAAAUUUGUCCCAGCCAAAGGCAUUUUCUUCUCCUCCAAUAGCAAAUUACAGCUUUUUGGCUUUGCUGAUUCUGACUGGGCUAGAUGCCCUGAUUCCAGGAAAUCAGUCACUGGAUACUGUGUUAUGUUAGGCUCGUCUUUAUUAUGCUGGAAAUCCAAAAAGCAACACACAGUUUCUCGUUCUUCCACUGAGGCUAAGUAUUGUGCGUUAGCUUCCAUCACUUGUGAAUUACAAUGGUUACAUUUCUUAUUUCAAGAUUUCCUGGUUCAAUUUGAGCAGCCUGCAUCUGUGGUUUGUGACAGCAAGUCUGCAGUUUACUUGGCUACGUUUCAUGAACGUAGCAAACACAUUGAACUGGACUGUCACGUUAUACAGGAAAAGAUCAAUUCAAAACUUAUUCAUCUUCUUCCUAUUUCUACACAUAACCAGUUGGCAGACAUUUUUACUAAACCUCUUCAUUCACCAUCCUUAAAGAACAGUUUGGUCAAGUUGGGAGUUUGUACCAUCCACUGCCCAACUUGAGGGGGGCUGUUAGCUGAUAUUUAGCAUAUCACAUGUAAGUAUAUUUAUAGGCUUUUCCUUUUAUCCUUACAUUGUGGAUAAUGUAAUAUAAAUAGCCAAUCACUUUCUGUUUUACACAAUUAGUUUUCCAAUAACAACUUUCUGUUAUCUUCUUCUUCCUCUUCUUGAAUGAUUCUGGUUUUCCAUUUUCUCCAUAUGAGCAUUAUUGCAAUUUUCUUUUCCACUGUACUGUUUCAUAUGGACAUUGAUAUUUAUCAACGAUUCAAACUUCUAUACUGAUGGAGAAAAGGUUGUGGGUGGUUCUUUUUGAGUAAUUUCAUGUUUUCCUGUAGUGUCGUAGGUAUUUUCUUUAAUUUUUAACUACCAUAAACCUUGGUGUUUUUUCUUAUUAUUCAAACAUCUUCAAUAUUUAAUCAGCACAAAUAUUUUUUUUGAGUGUUUUAUUCAACUUAUUUCAUCCAUAUACUUAACAUAUCAACAAGUGUUUCUUAUUCAACUUAUUUCAUCCAUAAACUUAAAAUAUACUUAACUAAUCUAUAUACUUAACUUAAGAUAAACCUUGGGUUCCCUUUGGUUUUGAUUUUUUUAAAUAUUAUUUUAAAUAAUCUAAAUGUUUUGAUUUUUUUAAAUAUUAUUUUAAAUAAUCUAAACGUUUAAACUUAGCAUAUCAAUAAGUGUUCUUCAUAAAAAAAAUUUAAGACAAAUUUUUAAACUACUAUUACAACUUUUGUCAAAUUUUUAUUACUCUCAAAUACUUUAUUCUUUUUCUAUAAUUACAUUUAUGUAUCAUAUAAAAAGACAUUUUAUUCAAAUAAAUAUUUAAAUAAAAUGUUUAUCUUAAAAUUUAGGAAAAUAACUCAAAGGAUUAGCUUGUGGAAUAUCUUCUCUUAUAUUUAGCCGUUGCAACUUGCAUUUCCAUUCAUUAAAACAUGCAAUAUUACUAGUAGAAAACUCUUCACGAUGCUUUGAGGAGUUGGUUAUCAAUUUAAAACCAACAUAUAUAGUUGUUAUAUCUUAUGAGAGAUCACAUAAAGUAAUCAAAACUAAUGCACCAAAUUAGAUAGCUUACUUUGAAAAUGGGUUCCAGGAAGACAUCUCUUUGAAAGUGGGGAGAUCUCUAUGGGUUUUGGUCUCCUAACCUCCUUCUGGGAGGAUAUAUGGGUUGGAAACUCCACCUUUCGCUAUAGAUUCCUUCGCCUCUUUUUAAUUUUGAGGAGGUCGAUAGAUUGGAGGAGGAUAGUUGGAUAUGGGAUCUCAAGUGGAUGAGACCUUUUUUUUAAUUACGAGUUGGAUUUUUUAGCGAUCUCUCGUCUUUGAUUAGAGAUUUCAUCCAUUUUAUUGAGAGUCAUGAAUGGAGGUGGCGUGGCUCAAGCUGUGGGGUUUAUUCUAUGUCUUCCGCCUACUCUUAUCUUUUGGCUCGCGUGUUUCUCCUAGGUCGUUAGGCAUCUCCCAUAGAGUUAGUUCUUUCGGCCAUUUGGUGUAGUUGGACCCCCUAUAAAGUUAUUUUUUUUCUCUUGACAACUUCUUUAGGAUCGUAUCCGAAUCAGAGAAAACUUACUUAAGAGGUUAGUCCCCUUGACAUCUGAGACUUUUUCCCAUGUCUUAUGCUCGUUGCACAUUGAGUCCUCCUCCCAUAUCUUUGUGACCUGCUGUAAUACCCCAAAAUUUACCCUUCAUUUUUUCCUAGAAGCAUGGGAUUAUGUUUUGCAUUUCAUUUGCAUCAUACUAGGUCAUACUCAUUGCAUACUGCAUUAGUGACCUGGGAAAUCAGGUUUGGAUUGAUCACUCCUUAACAAAAGGAGCCCACACAAAGCAAGAUUGAGGAUUGGACUUCAUAUACAAGUUUCAAGGGUCUCAAGGGGGUCCGGGUAUCUUAUUAUGGUCUUCAGUUCAUCAAUGGAGGAUUCAGAGCUCUCAGAGUGUGCAUCUGGAUUUAAUCAGAAAUUAGGGUUUCAUGGCUACCUGCAACAGACAAUGUUUGGUUAGAAGUAGAGGGGCUCAUCCAUGUCAUGAUUAUAGAGGCAUCUUUGCCUAGGAAGACUCAUCAUUAUCUCAGAAAGAUCCAUUGGCAAGCAGUGCAAUCAGUUCCUGAUCAAUUUUGCCCUAAACUAGGGUUUGGUAUAAAAUCAGUUUAUUUCUGAUUCUUUGGGAGAAACUCUUUUCCAUGGGCCUCCAUAUGUCCACAAGGGUCUACAUACAAAAAAUUAGCUCUUUAUUUGUUCCAGAAGUGCUUCAAUUGAUCAAUGGAAUCGGGAUCAAACAGUUUGGGAAAAGUCAAUUGUGGGGCCAGAAAAGUCAACUCCUGACAUUUUGAGAGUGGAAUCUCAAAAUCCAUGCCUAGGGGAGCCUACAUGUGAAAUUUGAUCAAGGUUGGAUCUUGGAUUCAUCAUUUAAUCAGGAAUUGGAAAAGUUACUUAAUUUGGAAAUGGUUGACUUUCCAUUUAGGGCAAGUUUUCAUGGUUGUUGCACUCACUUUAAGCCCAUUUUCCAUCAAGAUAAAAGCUCCAUUUGAAACUUUCUCCAACAUGAAAGUUGUUCCUCUUGUUCCAAGCUUUCUAGAGAUAUAAAGUUUGCUCCAUUUGGAUCAAGAUUGAGAAAGUUAUGCUUAGUCAAAGUGGGAUAUAUUUUUAGGACACUUAGAAAACUUUCUAAGUCUCAAAAUCUUCAAAGUUUGUCAAGACUUCUUGGCCAGUUUUCUUGCAUUUCAAGGCAUCAUUUGCAAAUACUUUCUUCAUAACAAUUGUACCUUGUCAUGUCCUAUUUCACAUCCUUUUGGAAUCAUCUCAUUUGGAUCCAUGGUUUGAGAGAUACAUUCAUCUAAAGUGGGCACCAUGACUUGAUUCUUUAGGCAGAUUUUAGGCCAAACUGGCCCAACCUUUUUGGCAUGAUAAAACCUGAACUUUAAGCCCAUUUUUAACCUUCUUCCAUUCAUCAUUUCCAUUUGUCCUCAACAUGAAAGAUGUUAAGCUCCAUGAAAUAUUUCUAUUGUUUGCAUUGUCUUACCAAUUGGUCAUGUUCUCAUUAAGAUACAUAGUCACAAAGUCAUCAUCUUGGACUGUUUUUAUGUUGCACAAGCCAAACCAAGUUAUGCUGCAGCUAGACCAAAACCGACCAGCUCAUGUUCUAUUUCCUCAUUUGCCCAUGCAUCUCAUUUCCACUCACUUAAACUUUGCCAAAAUGAGCAAUUUUCUAACACCACCUCACAUUGCCACUUUUGCAUCAUUUUGCACAUAACCAAGACAAACAUUUCUGAGCCCAUUAAGAAUUUGUUGACCCACAUACUUAAGAGCCUAAAACCUAAAUCUAAAAGGUGGCUGGAAUUUUCGAGAAGGCAAGUUCAGCUUCCAUUCUUUUGCUCUCAACAAGUUCUUGAAGUUGCAACACCAAGAGAGCAGCACCUUUUUCUUCCAUCUCUCCAAUACCAAGAGGCAGUGGACCUUACAUCCACUAGGUAAUUCUAUCAUUCUCUUCCAUGGCCAUGUAUCAAUAUAUACAUGCUUUUCAUCAUGUUUUCCAUGCUUACUCCAUGCUAUUUAUAGCUUGCUUCAUGCCUCAAUUCUCAUGAUAACCAUAUGCUACGCCUGUUUUUGAAGUCCUCCACAUGAGGCAAUGUUCUUAAUAUGGAUUUAUGCAUGCUGAGUUUUUUUUGCCCUAGCUCGUGGCCAUGUUGUCACGUUGUGGUCAAUAUUUCACCAUGAUUGAGUCACCAUUUUUACUAAAACAAGUUACCAUGUUAUUCUAUUUGUUCCAUACUUGAACUUUGUUUUUUAUUUCAUGAUGUUUGGUGCAUUAUGGCAUGAGCAUUAUUGGUUGGAAGUUGGAGAAAUUUCAUCUGCCAUUUUUGUAAUCCAGGUUGCAUGGCGCUAGGGUUUCUAUUUUAAUGGGGAAGACGACCAUGUGUCGCCUUAUGACCCAUUAGAUCCAUGCGCAUGACUUAAUCGUGUCCGCCCAUUUUAUUUUGUCAUGUAGUGACUUAAUGUACCCUUGCCCAAUUGAUAACAAGUCACAUGUUAUUUUUUAAUAAAAUUUUAUUUUGGUAUGUCACGCCUGGAAUAUUGCUUUGGACUGGGCCUUUGCGCCACUUGCUCUUCACACUCCCCUUUCAGGGCCCAUCACCAAUAAUCUCUUUUAUUUUCUUAUUUUAAUUCAAAUCUAUUUUUCUGUUUUGAUUUUAAUUCUUAAAAAUAUUUUCUUUAUUCACAAAAAUCCCCAAAAAUAUUUUUCACAUUUCUUAAUGUCUUAUUUAAUUUUUAUUUUCAUAUUUAUUUAAUGUUAAUAUUUUAUUUUAAUUAUUCUUUCCAAAUGGUUCUUUUUAGCAUAUAUUUAACUCUUGAUUUUAUUUUCAUUGCUUAAAAUUAUUUUUAAGUUCUGAUUUUUGGGAUGAGGGUUGACCACAGUCCCAUGGUCAACCUGACCUUUUCUUGUAUUUUUAUUUCACCAUUUUCUAUUUAUUUGAUAAUUGUUUUGGUUGGUUGACCUUUAGUUUGACUUCUGCCUUAUUUCAAUUAAUUCACAUACCAAUUUUCAUUAUUUUUAAAAUAUUUUUGGGGGAUGAUGAUGUCCUGACCCCACCUUACUUAGUUUAAUUUUUCAUAAUUUUCUUGAUUAAUUUACUAUUUAUUCUUGAUUUAUUUGUUUGGUUGACUUUCGGUUUGACUUAUGUCUUGUUUCAAUUAAUUUACUUACCAAUUUUCAUUAUUUUUAAAAUAUUUUUGGGGGAUGAUGAUAUCCUGACCCCACCUUAUUUAGUUUAUUUUUUCAUAAUUUACUUGAUUAAUUUGCUAUUUAUUUGGUAUUUUUUAAGUUAACUUGAAUGUUCAGUUGACUUUUCCAUGAUUGAUGUUUGACUUAGGGAUUGCUUAUGGCAAUUGAAGAGAUCUUCUGAUCCUCCCCUGUUCAUCUCAUAUGCCAUGUACUAGAGGCCUUUCAUCUUGAUUUUAUUUGGUCCUUACCUCAUUUCCCGAUUAAAUUAUUCAGUGAUCCUUUAUGUGCAUCAUUGCAUCUGUCUGAUUCAUCUGUCAUUUGUGAUAAUUGUUUCUUUCAUCCAUGCUUAAUAUUGUUUGAUUGUUUAACAUGUUCAUACUCCCAUGAAUUGUUUAAUACUCUAUCAUUUCAUUAUUUGAUUUUGUUGACUUGAUUAUAUACUUGCUUACUUAUCUGGCUUGAUUGAUAACUGUUUCCUACUUGUAUAAUGUAUGAGGCAUAUAUUCUUAUUAUUUGUUUGCCAUGAACAAUCCCCAUUCAUAACAAAUGUACCCCUCUCCCAUGAAGUGUAUAAUAUUUAUUCUUUCAUUCUUUAUUCAUCUGUUAAUACAAGAAUUAAAACAAACAUCCGAUAACCAUUUCAAAACAAGAUCAAAAGCUCGAUCCGACGUCGAGUAAUCAUUUUCAAAACUUAACAAAACCAGCACGUAUUCAUCCAUCCUUUUGUAAGUCGAUUGCUUCAGGCAUCGCCAUUUCUCUUGUAAGUCGAUUGCUUCAGGCAUCACCAUCUACCUGUAAGUCGAUUGCUUCAUGCAUCGCCAUCUACCCUUAUCUGUGGCUCCUUUCCUUGCUCUAUCCGUCGACUCUUGUUCCGUUUAGGUAGCAUCCAUUAGGUAGAACCCUUUGUAUGAUAACAUAGGUAGAAUUCCCUCAUUCUUUGCAUGCUAACAUUAGGUACAUGUUCCCAUCUGUAAAUCCUAACACAUAGGUCCACAUUGCAUGACAACUCUAGGGCAGAGCUUCCCCACUUUUAGACCUUCCGUGCGUCUCCGAUCUUGUGGCAUGUCAGUCCGUUCUAUUGCAAAGAGGUAACUUAGCUUCCCCACUUUUAGACCUUCCGUGCGUCUCCGAUCUUGUGGCAUGUCAGUCCGUUCUAUUGCAAAGAGGUAACUGCCUAAGACUCGAUUCAGCGAGCUGCGACACCUACUACUAGGACGUGAACACAUUGCCCACUUUCGUCUGACACAGUUGGUGUCCUCCUUUGUAAGUCCAUGUUCAGAUGGCAAUCCUUAACCCCUAGGUAGUCGAACUACGACAACUCUGAUUCUCAUGUUCAGAUGAGAUACGUAGGCACGAGACGCGAUGUCUUGCUGAGUUUGACUGACGACUAACAACUAAUCCUUGCUUGCUUUCGUCCUUGUUGCGAUUCUUUUCUCUCGCCCUCGUUGCGAUCGAGACCUUCCCUUUCUCUUGCCCUAGUUGCAAUCGAGACCCUUGUUCCCGUAGUUAGCUGAACUACGUUUUUCUCUGAUUAUCAUUCCCGAUGAGAUACGUAGGCAUAAGACGCGAUGUCUUAGCGAGCACACUUCUCUUUAUCCCCUAGGUAGCCGAGCUACGAAGACUCUGAUUCUCAUACUCAGAUGAGAUACGUAUGCAGUGGAAGCGACGUCCGUGCGAGUCAUUUUCUUUUGACCCUCUUUUAGUAAAUAGUACCUUAGAUAUAAACACACACCCUUUAGACUAGAAACACAAGAGUGGAUCCCGUAGAGUACUACGGAUGCGUAGGGGUUCUAAUACCUUCCCUUCGCAUAAUCGACUCCCGAACCCAAGAUUUGGUUGCGAGAACUUGUAUUUUCCUUUUUCCUCAGGUUUUCUUCGAUCGUUCCCUUUCCCUCCUUUGGGAUAAAUAAUGAACGGUGGUGACUCUUCUGUUUUUUUUCUUUUUUCUUUCGCCGGUUGUUUUUUUCGCAUUCCAGUUGCGACAGCUGGCGACUCUGCUGGGGACCCGGUUUCCCUAUGCGAGUCCCUCCUAGCUUUUGUGAGUUUCUUGUUUGUUGGGUGUUUAUUUUUUUGUACAGUUAUUUACUUUCAACAUUUACCUGCUUUAUCUUAUUGCAUUAUGUACAUAUGAUUGUUGUAUCUGCUGGUUCCGUUUGGGUUGGUUGUUUGUUGGGAUGGGUUAUUCUAUGAGAGAUAAGCCCAUUACCCAGGCUUGAGCGUACACACAGGUUUUAGAGUGGAUUGUCAUGAGGCUUGCGUAGUAUGUUGCUACGUUAAGUCAUUCAUGAAGACCCACACCCAGAUGAGGUUUCUUUUGGAUAUAUUCUGUCCUAUGGGUGUUCCAUAACGACAAAUGUUCCUCUAGAAAUCGUCGACUCUGGUGACCAUUUCCCGAGAACUCAGUUGAGGCCUCUCCUCCGAGACGUGAUUAUGUUAGCUCUGGUGGGCGCAUUCUCGUUGCUCAAUCCAAGGACCCCGAGGCUGGGAACUUGCUUUAGGAUGUCCUGUUGAGGGGAGUCAGUGGAGGUCUUUUGUCUAGUAAUAAUGCCAAACCUUCAGUGGUAAACGUAUUAUUCGACUAAAGGGCAAGAAGCUGGCAAACUUCUGUUCUUAGAACAUACCAGUGAGGGGCGGGCUAAAUUCAGGAAACCGUAACCUUCAACCAAUCCGGUUUUCUGGAGCAGAGCUUUGAUCUCGUAUUAUAUUCCUCAGUGGGUUUCUCUUCAGACAGUGCGACCCGACAGUUGUUCAAGCAGAUACAGCAAUCCUGAAUCCCAUGUCACUGCAUUGCAUCACAUCAUUUUGCAUUCAUAUCAUUUAAAACAUGUUUAUCUUUUACUAGGGGUUUAUAUCUUCUUCUUAAUUCUGGUCGGGGUUCUCUGGUUCUCCUAAGAUGGAUAUUGGCCGAAAGAGACAUGUCGCCUACAAGUUUCCUGUGGUUUGUUUGGAUCCCAUUCAGCAGCUGAUGAAGUUAAUGGGUCAUGAUUCUCUAGAAGGAUUCCGGAAGGAUUCCGGUUUGAUUCUAAGUUUCGUCACGGUUCUCUCCAAAGAUCAACACGAUGCUCUCUUUACAUUGCUGCAGUUCUAUGACCCUCCAUUGAGGUGUUUCACAUUCCCGGAUUAUAUCUUAGUUCCUACUUUGGAAGAGAUUGCCAGUCUUCUUAGAGUUCCUAUCAAGUCGCAGUUGCUAUUCUACAGUUCUGAAUCUAUGCCCGAUCUCACCAUGGUUGUUUUAACCACAUAUUUGGGGAAAUCAAUCUUGAAGGCUAAUAUGUGUCAGAAGGGAGGAGUCAAUGGUUUUCAUUUGAGUUUCUUAGUGGGAGAAGCCAAGAAGAAGCUUGAAGAGGGUGAUCAGAGAGGUUUCAAUGCUGUGUUGGUUCUUUGUGUAUACGGGAUUGUCAUGUUCCUUAAUGUUGCAAAAUUUGUGGACGUAGACGCAAUACGCCUAUUCGUGUUGGGAAAUCCAGUGCCGACCUUGCUGGGAGAUUUCUUUCAUUCAGUGGAUCACAGGAAUGAGAAUAGAAAAGGAGGAUUGGUGAAUUGUUGUGCACCAUUGUUUCAUAAGUGGUUCAGUUCUCACCUACCCAAGUCAGGAGCGUUCGUUGACUUCAAGGACUCGUUGAGUUGGUCGAAGAGAUUGAUGGGGAUAAGAGCUAAAGAUAUUUCUUGAUAGGCUGACCAGAACUUGCUUCGGGCAGAUAUCAUUCACAGUUGUGGGAACUUCCCGAAUAUACCGUUGGUAGGAAGAAGAGGAGGAAUCAACUAUAAUCCUUCUCUAGCAGUCAGACAGUUUGGGUACGCUUUGAAGACUCCGCCUUUGGAAAAAGAUGUGGAAGAAUCUCUAUUUUUCCAUUCUUCAUCUGAUCUGACUGUAUCCUGUAAGGCAGCUGAGGCCUGGCUCAAGGUAAUCAAGAGAGGAAGGACUGUGCUUGGAAAAUGAGAUUGCAGGACUUAUCCUCAGUAUGAAGAUUGGCUUCAGAGAAGAGUCGAAGAGUUUGGUCUGCCCUUUUCCAUUGAAGAACCUUUAUACCCACCUACUCCUAAGCAGUCAACAGUGGUGAGCCGAGAGGAGUAUGACAAUUUGAAGAAUGCCAUGGAGGAACUUCAAACUGAAAACUCGGAGUUGAGUGCGAAGUUGCAAGACUAUAUGCAUCUGUACCAUGAGGCGGAAUAUCAGAAGGGGGAAGCUGUCAGAUUGCAAGAGGAAGCAGAGAAGAAAUUGGCUGUGGAGGUGAACUUCUUCAGGAAGACAGACAAAGCCUUGGGGUCAUCCAGUUCUGAGUUGAGGCGAGUCAAGCAGCAGCUAACAGAUGCUCAUGGUAAGUUAGCUGGAUGGCAAGAGCGAUGGGAUGCAUUUUCAGUUCUCGGAAGGCAAUAGAGGAGGAGAUGGUAGCUCGAUUGACUGGUCAGAUGGAGAAAUUGAAGACUUUGCUGAAGGAGAAGAACAAUGAGCUUCUGUGCGCCCGUUCAACCAAUGGUUACAUCACAGAUCAACUCGACAAGGCUCAAGAAUAGAUUGAAGAACUUAAGGCGCUGACAGGUUUGAAGAAAUCCAGACUUGAAGAGUUAUUCGGAGAGGAUGAUGGGAAUUACUACAUAGAGCACCUCAACGAACUGGAUGGGAUUAUUCACAAGAGGAAUUUGCUUAUCCGGCGUUUGACAGAAUCUCCAGAUCAUCCUGACACGGUGGCACUACUGGCUGAAGUGAGGAGCAGUCCUUAUGGGUUGUAUACAGGAGGUUGAUUCCUGAUUUUUGUUCCUCUCUUUACUUAUUGUGUUGUUGCUUUAUAGUGAUGAUCCACAAACUUAUUGUGGAGAUCCUCUUUUGGUGUACUGUUGGCUAAGGCCCUUCUUUUUGAACUCAUUUGUAUGACGAUUUCUCUCUAUUGCAUCUUGGUCUCAGAAGUUUAUCCACGACUCGAUCUUCUUCCAUCUUUUUAUCUGAUGUGAGACUGGAAUCAAGGGGGUAGAAUAUCCUUUGGAAUUGAUAAACAUGUUGUAACACCCCAAAAUUUGCCCUCCUCAUUCAUGCAUUCAUUUUUAGGUCAUUUAACAUUUCAUAUUGCAUUUCAUCAUGUCAAUCAGAAUCAGAUCCAAGAAGUUUCUUUUUUUAGAAAAAAAAAA
rnacentral:lncRNA from 1 species